GGAUGUGAAAGCAAUCAGGCUUUGGCAUCUGUCAGCCACUGACCACAGGGACUGACUCAGCUGAUGUUGCUGGCUAGGUAGACGUUCCUUUCUCCCUCCCCACUCCAUGCACACCCGCAUGGAGCUGUGCACUUGAUGGAAGACGGCACCCUCCCAAAUAGAGGAGAAACAAUUUGUCUC
rnacentral:snRNA from 1 species